rnacentral:misc_RNA from 1 species
AAGGAUCCGAUGCUGCAUUCUGAAAAUUAUUAUGUGUCAAAGCCAAUAAUAUAAAGCUAAUCAAUGCACUAUUUCAUUGCAAAGUGAGCUUUUACUUCUAAUAUUGCAAUAUUUCUUUGCAAAAUGAGCUUUUUCAAACCUUUUAAACAACAUUUCAUUGCAAAGUGAUCUUUUGAAGUUCUAUUUUUAUUAAUAGACUGU